AUUGAACGCUGGCGGUAUGCUUAACACAUGCAAGUCGAACGAUGAGAAAGAGCUUGCUCUUUCGAUUAGUGGCGGACGGGUGCGUAACGCGUAGGAAUCUACCUAUUAGUGGGGGACAACUUAGGGAAACUUAAGCUAAUACCGCAUACGCCCUACGGGGGAAAGUGGGGGACCGCAAGGCCUCAUGCGAUAGGAGCGGCCGAUGUCUGAUUAGCUAGUUGGUGGGGUAAGGGCCUACCAAGGCGACGAUCAGUAGCUGGUCUGAGAGGACGAUCAGCCACACUGGGACUGAGACACGGCCCAGACUCCUACGGGAGGCAGCAGUGGGGAAUUUUGGACAAUGGGCGAAAGCCUGAUCCAGCAAUGCCGCGUGUGUGAAGAAGGCCUUCGGGUUGUAAAGCACUUUUGUCCGGAAAGAAAUGGCUCUGGUUAAUACCUGGGGUCGAUGACGGUACCGGAAGAAUAAGGACCGGCUAACUACGUGCCAGCAGCCGCCGUAA
rnacentral:rRNA from 1 species